GAUGAACGCUAGCGGCAGGCCUAACACAUGCAAGUCGAGGGGUAGACAUCUUCGGAUGUUGAGACCGGCGCACGGGUGCGUAACGCGUAUGCAAUCUACCUUAUACUAAGGGAUAGCCCAGAGAAAUUUGGAUUAAUACCUUAUGGUUAAUAAAGCCGGCAUCGGUUUAAUUAUAAAGAUUUAUUGGUAUAAGAUGAGCAUGCGUCCCAUUAGUUAGUUGGUAAGGUAACGGCUUACCAAGACGAUGAUGGGUAGGGGUCCUGAGAGGGAGAUCCCCCACACUGGUACUGAGACACGGACCAGACUCCUACGGGAGGCAGCAGUGAGGAAUAUUGGUAAAUGGACGGAAGUCUGAACCAGCCAUGCCGCGUGCAGGAUGAAGCAUCUAUGGUGUGUAGACUGCUUUUGUACGGGAAGAAAAAAAGCUACGUGUAGUUUACUGACGGUACCGUAAGAAUAAGGAUCGGCUAACUCCGUGCCAGCAGCCGCCGUAA
rnacentral:rRNA from 1 species